rnacentral:sRNA from 1 species
GUCAAGCAGCAGCAGCAGCAGCAGCUGCUGCUGCUGCAGCAGCAGCAGCUGCUGCUGCAGCAGCGGCGGCAGCAGCUGCAGCAGCGGCGGCAGCAGCUGCUGCAGCAGCGGCUGCAGCGGCGGCGGCUGCAGCAACGGCUGCUAUGUCUUUGGCCGGUCCCGCCAGAGACACAGGAGCAGCUGCUGCUGCAGCUGCUGCUGUUGCAGCAGCUGCUGCAGCUGCUGCUGUUGCAGCUGCUGCUGCAGCUGCUGCUGCAGCUGCUGCUACUG